rnacentral:rRNA from 1 species
UACGAAGGGGGCUAGCGUUGUUCGGAAUUACUGGGCGUAAAGCGCACGUAGGCGGACUAUUAAGUCAGGGGUGAAAUCCCGGGGCUCAACCCCGGAACUGCCUUUGAUACUGGUAGUCUCGAGUCCGGAAGAGGUGAGUGGAAUUCCGAGUGUAGAGGUGAAAUUCGUAGAUAUUGGGAAGAACACCGGUGGCGAAGGCGGCUCACUGGCUCAUAUCUGACGCUCAGGCGCGACAGCGUGGGGAUCAAACAGG